rnacentral:tRNA from 1 species
GCUCUUCUGGUGAAAUUGGUAGACACGUUAGUUUUAGGAACUAGUGCUUAUAGCAUAAGGGUUCGAGUCCCUUGAAGAGCA